rnacentral:tRNA from 2 species
CAAAAAGUAGCUUACAUAAAGCACUUGGCUUACAACCAAGAGACGUUAGACAAAUAUAACCUUUUUGC